AACGCACGCGCUAGGCUGCGUUCCGCCACGGGGGAAGUCCGGUCGAAAUCCGGCGCUGACCCGCAACGGUAGACGGAGCCCCCGGGUUCCGUGAGCCCGAUCACCCGCGGCGGAGAAGGCUCCUGA
rnacentral:ncRNA from 2 species